rnacentral:ncRNA from 1 species
AUUCCCAGCUGAAACGCAGUCUGCAGCCUGGUCACAGAUCGUUUUUUCACUUACCUGAUGAGGCAGGGGGGCAUGCCCUGAAGGGCUCUCACUUCUGGCUCCAAGCUCCCAGCGCAUGCUGGGUGUAACCUGCUCCACGGCCAGUGUCAGGUGGGGAGUUUGGCUGGGGUGGUACACCUAACAAACCAUAAUGCAGGUGUCCUAAAUUGAGCUCAGGAAGGACAGAAACCUCCCAGGGGGCAAAAGCUUGCUUGAUCUUGAUUUUCAGUAUGAAGACAGACUGUGAAAGCAUGAUCCUUCUGACUUUUUGGGUUUUAAGCAGGUGUCAGAAAAGUUACCACAGAGAUAACUGGCUUGUGGCGGCCAAGCAUUCAUAGCGAUGUCACUUUUUGAUCCUUCAGUGUCAGCUCUUCCUAUCAUUGUGAAGCAGGCUUCACCACGCAUUGGAUUAUUCACCCAUUGACAGGGAACAUGAGCUAGGGUUAGACCAUUGUGAGACAAGUUAGCUUUACCCUACUGAUGAUGUGUAGUUGCAAUAGCAAUCCUGUUCAUUCGAGAGGAACCGCAGGUUGAGUUAUUUGGUGUAUGUGCUUGGCUGAGGAGCCAGUGGGCGAAGCUACCAUCCGUUGGGGUUACAAUCUGGCAUGCCAGCAGAACUGGGGAAGUGGGGGUCAAAAAUCAAAAUCAAUACACAAUGAUUAGUCCUCACAGUCAUGCUCUGGCUUGCAAAAGAGAAGCCUUGCAAGUGAGCAGGCAGUCAGGUAGCUAAAUCCACUCCCUAAGGGAAAAAAUGGGGAAUCUUCCC